GGUGGCUUAGUGGUAAAGCGAUUGCCUUCCAAAACCGAGAGCCCCAGGUUCGAAUCCUGGCGCU